rnacentral:rRNA from 1 species
GCCAGUGGCCAGACCACCCUGCAGCUCACAGCUCACAGCUGGUAGUCCACUGAAGCUCAGCAGGUGUGAGCCUGGUCGGUACCUGGAUGGGAGACCUCCUGGGAAAACUCAGGUUGCUGUUGGAA